UACGUAGGGUGCAAGCGUUAAUCGGAAUUACUGGGCGUAAAGCGUGCGCAGGCGGUUUUGUAAGUCAGAUGUGAAAUCCCCGGGCUUAACCUGGGAACUGCGUUUGAAACUACAAGGCUAGAGUGUGGCAGAGGGGGGUGGAAUUCCACGUGUAGCAGUGAAAUGCGUAGAGAUGUGGAGGAACACCGAAGGCGAAGGCAGCCCCCUGGGUUAACACUGACGCUCAGGCACGAAAGCGUGGGGAGCAAACAGG
rnacentral:rRNA from 1 species